UACGUAGGAUGCAAGCGUUGUCCGGAUUUAUUGGGCGUAAAGAGUUCGUAGGCGGUUCGUUAAGUCUGAUGUUAAAUCUCGGGGCUCAACCUCGGGAGUGCAUUGGAUACUGGCGGACUGGAGUGUGGUAGAGGUUAGUGGAAUUCCCAGUGUAGCGGUGAAAUGCGUAGAUAUUGGGAAGAACACCAGUGGCGUAGGCGACUAACUGGGCCAUAACUGACGCUGAGGAACGAAAGCGAGGGGAGCGAAUGGG
rnacentral:rRNA from 1 species